rfam:Coniochaeta ligniaria NRRL 30616 unplaced genomic scaffold CONLIGscaffold_8, whole genome shotgun sequence.
GGGGAUGUAGCUCAUCUGGUAGAGCGCGUGCUUAGCAUCCCGCUGACGAUCCGAUCUGAUCGUGAUCGUCGACACAUGUUCCUGCACGAGGUACUGGGUUCGACUCCCAGCUUCUCCA